rnacentral:rRNA from 1 species
AAUAUUGGGCAAUGGAUGGAAGUCUGACCCAGUCAUCCCGCGUGCUGGAAGACGGCCCUCUGGGUUGUAAUCGGCUUUUGACGGUGAAUAUUAGGCGGGACGCGUCCGCUCUAGUUGUCAGCCGCUGAAUAUUUAGCGGCUACCACCGCGCAAAGUUCCGCGGUAAUACGGAGGGUGCGAGCGUCGUCCGGAUUUAUUGGGUUUAAAGGGUGCGUAGGCUGGGAGGUAAGUCAGCGGUGAAAAGCACACGCUUAACGGGUGUCUUGCCGCAGAUACUACUUUUCUUGGAUGAGGAGGAGGUCACUGGAACGGAUGGUGUAGCGGUGAAAUGCAUAGAUAUCAUCCAGAACACCGAUUGCGAAGGCAGGUGACUGUACCUUAAUCGACGCUGAGGCACGAAAGCGUGGGGAGCGAACAGG